rnacentral:rRNA from 1 species
CCUACGGGUGGCUGCAGUGGGGAAUAUUGGGCAAUGGGCGCAAGCCUGACCCAGCAACGCCGCGUGAAGGAAGAAGGCUUUCGGGUUGUACACUUCUUUUCUCAGGGACGAAGAAAGUGACGGUACCCGAGGAAUAAGCCACGGCUAACUACGUGCCAGCAGCCGCGGUAAUACGUAGGUGGCAAGCGUUAUCCGGAUGUAUUGGGUGUAAAGGGUGUGUAGGCGGGAGCGCAAGUAAGAUGUGAAAUCACAGGGCUCAACCCAGAGCCUGCAUUGGAAAAUGUGUUUCUUGAGGGCUGGAGAGGCAAUCGGAAUUCCGUGUGUAGCGGUGAAAUGCGUAGAUAUAAGGAGGAACACCAGUGGCGAAGGCGGAUUGCUGGACAGUAACUGACGCUGAGGCGCGAAAGCGUGGGGAGCAAACAGGAUUAGAUACCCGAGUAGUC